CUCAAAACUGUACACAGAAAGGUGGAAAAAGGCUGCUUUGGAGAGACGAUUUGUAGAUUUAGGAAAGGAAGAAGAUGAAGAAACAAGAAAAAUGUUGAAGAAGAGAAAUAUAAUGUUUGAUUUGAAUACUUGGUAAGAGCGGACUCGGAAAUGGGAUUUUCUUCAGUUCUUUUCUAAUAAGGUAUUUCCUUCUCUCUUAAGAGAAUGUGGAGGCGGAAUUGCAGAAAGCAGAGAGGUGUUGGUUUGUAUCCCUCACACAGAUCUUCUUUUUCCUGCUUUUGGAGAAACUGAGUAUAAUCUAACCAGCUUAUGAUUCUAAUGUCUGAUAUAAUGUCACAAACAACAAUAUAGUCUUGUGUUUAUUUAUGUAAAACCGGUGAAAUUCAUUUAUGCAUUGUGUGAAAUUUCUGUACUUGUGCACCCUUAAUUUACUUGUUUUCAUUUAUUAAAAGGUACAAACGAACUCCUCGUUGAGUCGUUGGAAGCUAGUAAUGAUGCUUGUGAGUAUAUGAUGCAAGAACAUUCAAGGACUUGGGUUAGAUCCUUUUAUGAUGAAGUUGCUUGUUGUCAACACAUGAACGACAAUUUCAGUGAAUCAUUCAGUAAUGCGAUAAGUGAGUUAAGAGACAACCAGUUUGUAAGAUGGGAUUGAUAUAUGGUAAGCCUGUAAUGGGAUUGAUAAGGUGGUAAUACGAGUUCUGGCGAAGGAGAAGAGAUUUGGGUGGGUUGUCGUAGAAUAAGAUGGCUCAUUCAUGAACAUCAGCGGGUUGCUAAUGUUGCCGGCACUAACAAAAGACAACUUGGAAAGCGAAUUCCUAGACCACUUUAUAUAGAAGAAUUCUGGACCACCAGAGAUAAGCUUCAAUCAGCAUCAAAGAGGACAAAUUUCAGUUUCGCUAUAAGGUCCCGUUCUUAUGGUGAGAGGAAAGUGAAGACCUUUAGCAACUUUAGCAGCCGCUGAAGACUAUUCUCUCCGUGGUUCUGUUGAGACUUCAGACUUUAAGGCUGCAGAAGACCUAUAUGAAGAUGGUAAUUGUGUGAUUGUCAAAAAUACAGAGUAUUACUAUGACUAUCUCCUCUCCCUCAGUGCAGCCUAAUUAAUACAUCCCUAGGUCCUUCUCGAACAAACAACAGACAGAACAAGUCCAAGAAAAGAAUGAUUAAAAGACCGCAAAUACUUCCUAACGAGAGUCAACAACCACAGAAACACCACAUGAAGGUGAGCCUGAGAACUCUGAUACAGUAUUGGAUUCAACAAAAGAUAUCUGGAUCAGUGGAGGAAAUCUAAACUCUCCAGCCAAUUCCUUGAAAAAGAAGUUGCCGAAGCAUGUUUCUAGAAGAAGAACUGCACCAAAAGGCCCACUAGGCUUAUCGGGGAUGGGUCAAUGUACCUUCCAGCAACGUCUAAAUCUCUUGUUCCGAUCAUGAAUGUGCAACGCUGAGUGCUAUUGGAUCCUCUCCAUAUAUCAGGGUAUCUAGAGGCUACCCUACUAAUAAGGUUUUCCCUUCACCGCCAAUAUAUCGUAGUCAGGGAUCUUCUGCAAUUCAUGUCAUAUUGACCAGUUGUCUGAAUACGGGUAUGGGGGUGUACUACAGAAAAUUAAUAGAUGCGGGCAGCAAACCUGGAGAGGAAACCUGAUUAGGCUGGUGGCUUGAGAAGGUGGCUCAUGUCACUUGAGCUAGGACAGUUUGAGAAGAUGUUCUGAAUGAGAAAUGUGGAUGAUAUGAAUUUCAAUUGUUGAACCUAAAGAUGGGAAAGCAGACAUGAGCGCAAUUGCAGUUGGUCUGAGAAGAAAGUUAAUGCAUGUGAUCGACUGUUUGUCAUUUCAAGGUUGUACUCUUUGUAGAAAGGCGACUUCAAUGGGUUUGUCGAUAAAAUAUAAACUACUAACGCAGACAUGAGCGCAAUUGCAGUUGGUCUGAGAAGAAAGUUAAUGCAUGUAACCGACUGUUUGUCAUUUCAAGGUUGUACUCUUUGUAGAAAUGCGACUUCAAUGGGUUUGUCGAUAAAAUAUAAACGGCAAGGAAAGGACUCUCCUUUGUUGAUGGGCUUUGCGUACUCCAUUCAUUAGCCAAUUUCAAUAUCUGCUCAUAUACAGGUUAUGGACAUUAAUGGUAUCAGUUGAUGAGCAUAUAUCCAGAUUAGUUCA